CUAUAAAGUUGACAUCAUGAGAUAAAUUCCUGCUGAUUUUAGGUUGUUGCUCCAAACGAAGUACCGUCGGCUGCCUGUUGUUGAUGUUGAUGGCAAACUGGUUGGGAUUAUCACAAGGGGCAAUGUUGUUAGAGCUGCUCUA